GAAAUGCGAUAAGUAGUGUGAAUUGCAGAAUUCAGUGAAUCAUCGAAUCUUUGAACGCACAUUGCGCCCCUUGAUAUUCCAUGGGGCAUGCCUGUUCGAGCGUCAUUUGUACCCUCAAGCUCUGCUUGGUGUUGGGUGUUUGUCCCCGUCUCCGCGCGUGGACUCGCCCCAAAGUGAUUGGCAGCCGGCGUACUGGUCCCGGAGCGCAGCACAUGUCGCGCAAACGAGUGCCUUGGUACGGCGGCGUCCAUAAGCCCCUCUCUCACGCUCUUGACCUCGGAUCAGGUAGGGAUACCCGCUGAACUUAAGC
rnacentral:misc_RNA from 1 species